AGAAUUUGAUCUUGGUUCAGAUUGAAUGCUGACGGCGUGGAUGAGGCAUGCGAGUCGAACGAAAUAGGGGGGUAACUCUCUAUUUAGUGGCGGAAGGGUUAGUAAUACAUGAAUAACGUACCUCUAACACAGGGAUAACGGCUGGAAACGGCCGCUAAUACCAGAUGUGGUGGACAGGGGCAGCUCCUGUUCAUCAAAGGUGGGGACUCUGUAAGGAGCCCAGCGGUUAGAGAGCGGUUCAUGGGAUAUCAGCUAGUUGGUGUGGUAAUGGCGCACCAAGGCUAAGACGUCUAGGCGGAUUGAGAGAUCGACCGCCAACAUUGGGACUGAGAUACUGCCCAGACUCCUACGGGAGGCUGCAGUCGAGAAUCAUUCGCAAUGGGCGAAAGCCUGACGAUGCGACGCCGUGUGAGCGAUGAAGGCCUUUGGGUUGUAAAGCUCUUUCGCCUGGGAACAAGAGAGGAGGACGAAUAGUCCUUUAAUUUGAGGGUACCAGGUAAAGAAGCACCGGCUAACUCCGUGCCAGCAGCUGCGGUAAUACGGAGGGUGCAAGCAUUAAUCGGAUUUAUUGGGCGUAAAGGGCGCGUAGGCUGAAUGGUAAGUCAGAUGUGAAAUUCCGAAGCUCAACUUCGGAGCUGCAUUUGAAACUGCCAAUCUAGAGGGUAGGCGGAGAAAACGGAAUUCCACAUGUAGCGGUGAAAUGCGUAGAUAUGUGGAAGAACACCUGUGGCGAAAGCGGUUUUCUAGCUUACAACUGACGCUGAGGCGCGAAAGCAAGGGGAGCAAACAGGAUUAGAUACCCUGGUAGUCCUUGCUGUAAACGGUGUACACUUGAUGUAGCUGGGCUCGAUCCUGGCUGUGUCGUAGCUAACGCGAUAAGUGUACCGCCUGAGGAGUACGCUCGCAAGGGUGAAACUCAAAAGAAUUGACGGGGGCCCGCACAAGCAGUGGAGCAUGUGGUUUAAUUCGACGACGCGAAGAACCUUACCCAGGUUAGAAGUGUAGGGGACGAUAUUAGAGAUAGUAUUUUCCGCAAGGACCGCUACAUAGGUGCUGCAUGGCUGUCGUCAGCUCGUGCCGUGAGGUGUUGGGUUAAGUCCCGCAACGAGCGCAACCCUUAUCAUUAGUUGCCAGCGAGUAAGGUCGGGAACUCUAAUGAGACUGCCUAGGUGAACUAGGAGGAAGGUGAGGAUGACGUCAAGUCCGCAUGGCCUUUAUGCCUGGGGCUACACACGUGCUACAAUGGUCGGUACAGAAGGCAGCGAAACCGCGAGGUGGAGCAAAUCCCAAAAGCCGAUCUCAGUUCAGAUUGUAGUCUGCAACUUGACUACAUGAAGUUGGAAUUGCUAGUAAUGGCGUGUCAGCAAUAGCGCCGUGAAUACGUUCCCGGGCCUUGUACACACCGCCCGUCACAUCAUGGGAGUUGGUUUUACCCGAAGUCACUGACUCAACCGUAAGGGGAGAGGUGCCGAAGGUAAGGCUGAUGACUAGGAUGAAGUCGAAACAAGGUA
rnacentral:rRNA from 1 species